GUUCAAUAUACCGCAGGGGGGUCAAAAUACCAUGGCUAAGUAAAAUUUUCAAAAUAUCUUUUCCAGAAUAUUAAAUACAUACAAACUACUUAUUGGAGUAUUACAACUAUGUUUAAGGAGUUAGAUAGCUUGAAUUUUUGAAAUUGAAGGUCUAUAGUAGGGGGUUCAAUAUACCGCAGGGGGGUCAAAAUACCAUGGCUAAGUAAAAUUUUCAAAAUAUCUUUUCCAGUAUAUUAAAUACAUACAAACUACUUAUUGGAGUAUUAUAACU
rnacentral:lncRNA from 1 species